UCAGCGUGUGGCAUGUCUGUUAAGAAAAGUUGUGCAGGAGAUUGAACGACGCAUAUCAACUCAAGCUGAACACUUAAGAACUCAAAACAAUCUUUUUAAGGCUCGGGAGGAGAAAUACCAAUCAAGAAUCAGAGUAUUGGAGGCCCUUGCAUCUGGAACUUAUGAAGAGACAGAGAUAGGUUGGGAUAAGUU